rnacentral:rRNA from 1 species
AUGUUCUUGGCCAGACGACCAUCUGGGUUGUCUAAUAUCAGCAGGCUCUGCAUUCUCCACACCGUUUCUUGGAUACUCUCAUCGAGGCGGGCACGAUUCAGUGGCGGUAGCGAUGAUGCCACUGCGACUUCUCUCUGCCGGCUGUCAGAUCUUUUCCGCCCAGUCCGGAUGGACAUCAGCCGUGUCAUCUUGCGGGCACUUGAAUCCGGUACAUGUUCGGAGUCGGUGGAGCUGGAGAGGCUUGACGUCGAGCUGGAUCCUUUUGUUGUCAACUUGGUGGUCCGUGGCUUGUCGGACUCAGAGACAGCGGUGCGGUUUUACUUGUGGGCAGAGUCCCGUCCGGGAUUCGAUCAUAGCCAGUUUGCAAUAGCGUACAUUGUGAGCUUGCUGUUUGUAGAUGAAAAUUUUGCUCUGUUGUCGGAGUUCCUGGGGACAGUGAGGAGCCAAGGGGUGGCACUGCAUCGAUCACUAUAUCGGAUCCUUUUGUCUGGCUAUGUCCGAGCUGGCAAGUUUGAUUCGGUCAUAGAGACAUUUGAUGAGAUGGUCAUGUCAGGUUGCCGUGAGUUUGGUAUCGACUACAAUAGGUACAUAGGUGUUCUAAUUAAGAACUGUUGCUUUGAUUUAGUGGAGAAGUAUUAUGGCAUGGCGCUCUCGAAAGGUUUUUGUCUGACUCCAUUCACUUACUCAAGGUGGAUCUCUGCAUUGUGUCAAUCAAGUAGGAUUGAGCUUGUAGAGGAGCUUCUGGCUGACAUGGAUAGAUUUGGCUGUUCUCCAGAUAUUUGGGCUUGUAAUAUAUACAUCGAUUAUUUGUGUAAACAGAACAGGUUACAUGAUGCACUGCAGAUGGUAGAGAAGAUGCGGGGGAAAGGAACCAGCCCAGAUGUUGUGACUUAUACAACAGUUGUUGGCUGCUUAUGUAACAAUAAGAGGUUCUCAGAAGCAGUUGGACUUUGGGAAGAAAUGGUGAAGAUGGGCCUUAAACCAGAUGUUGUUGCCUGUGGUGCACUGAUCUUUGGGCUGUGCAAGAAUAGCAAGGUUGAAGAGGCUUUUGAACUGGCAUCAAGGAUGUUAAGUCUGAACAUAGAACUGAGUGUCUCAAUAUACAACGCCCUAAUAAGUGGCUUCUGGAGAGCUGGGAGCAUUGAUAAAGCCUACACCAUCAUAUCAUUCAUGCGGACAAACGGAUGUGAGCCAGAUGUUGUUACAUAUAAUAUCCUCUUGAAUCAUUACUGCACUAUAGGUAUGAUAGAGAAAGCUGAAAAAUUGAUAACAAAGAUGGAAACAAGCGGUGUAAAUCCUGACCGAUACAGCUAUAAUCAGCUGUUGAAAGGGCUCUGCAAAACUCAUCAACUGGACAAGGCAUUUGCUUUUGUUUCUGAUCAUAUGGAAGUUGGUGGGUUCUGUGAUAUUGUAUCCUGUAACAUAUUGAUUGAUGCAUUUUGCAAGGCCAAAAAGGUAAAAUCUGCACUGGAGCUGUUCAAGGAAAUGGAUUAUAAGGGAAUGCAAGCUGAUGCUGUGACAUAUGGGACUCUGAUCAAUGGUCUUUCCAGUGUAGGAUACUAUAAUAUAGCUGAAGAACUUUUUGAGCAGAUGCUGAAGGCUCAGAUUGACCCUAAUGUUAAUCUGUACAAUAUAAUGCUUCAUCACCUGUGCAAGGUUGGUGAUCUCAAACGUGCUCAGAAAAUAUUCUCGCAUAUGAUUCAGAAGGAAAUCUUACCUGACACUGUUACUUAUAAUACACUCAUAUAUUGGCUUGGAAAAAACUCAAGAGCAAUGGAAGCCCUUGAUCUCUUCAAGGAUAUGAGGACACAGGGAGUAGAACCAGAUAGCUUGACAUUCAAGUAUUUGAUCAACGGCCUCCUGGACGAGGGAAGAUCUACACUAGCUUAUGAGGUAUGGGAAUAUAUGAUGGAAAAUGGAAUCAUUCUCGACAGAGAAGUUUCUGAAAGGUUGAUAAGUGUGCUUAAAUUGAAGAACAAG